GUGAAUCAUCGAAUCUUUGAACGCAUCUUGCGCUCCUUGGUAUUCCGAGGAGCAUGCCUGUUUGAGUGUCAUUAAAUUCUCAACUCUCCUAUACUUUGUUGUAAAGGAGAGCUUGGAUUGUGGAGGCUUGCUGGCCACUUACUGGGGUCAGCUCCUCUGAAAUGCAUUAGCAGAACUGUUUGCGAUCUGCCACAAGUGUGAUAAAUUAUCUACACUAGCGAGGGGAUUGCUCUCUGUGUUCAGCUUCUAAUCGUCUUCAGUGACAAUUUUCUGAAUGCUUGACCUCAAAUCAGGUAGGACUACCCGCUGAACUUAAGCAUAUCAAUAAGCGGAGGA
rnacentral:misc_RNA from 1 species